AUGGGAUGCAUCCAAAAACAGAAGGAUAUAAACAAACUGACUGACAAAGUUGAAAUGUUGGAAGGCAAGGUAGAAGAAUUGAAACUAAAACUGAAGAAUGCUGCAGCUAAAAAGCAUUUUUGUAGCAAUAUCAAGACCGACCAAAAUGUGAGAAGAUUGACAGGGCUUUCUUCGAAGGAAGACAGACAACCUAUUCAAGUACGUAGGCAUAAAGCAAUGAAAAUGCGAUAUUAGGAAGGGAAGAAAAAAGUUGUCAGUACUAAAGUACCAAGAAAAUUUAAUCAAUUGCCAAAGAAGUCUGGACCCAGAUCAAAACUCAGCGUCAAGGAUGAAUGGUACUCAUUAAUGAAAAUGGAACAGAAC